AUUGAACGCUGGCGGCAAGCCUAACACAUGCAAGUCGAACGAGUGGCGGACGGGUGAGUAAUGUCUGGGAAACUGCCUGAUGGAGGGGGAUAACUACUGGAAACGGUAGCUAAUACCGCAUACCAUCGGAUGUGCCCAGAUGGGAUUUGCUAGUAGGUGGGGUAAAGGCUCACCUAGGCGACGAUCCCUAGCUGGUCUGAGAGGCUGACCAGCCACACGGGAACUGAGACACGGUCCAGACUCAUACGUGAGGCAGCAGUGGGGAAUAUGGCCCAAGGGGCGCAAGCCUGAUGCAGCCAUGCCGCGUGUAUGAAGAAGGCCUUCGGGUUGUAAAGUACUUUCAGCGGGGAGGCGUUACCCGCAGAAGAAGCACCGGCUAACUCCGUGCCAGCAGCCGCGGUAAUUC
rnacentral:rRNA from 1 species